UACGAAGGGGGCUAGCGUUGCUCGGAAUGACUGGGCGUAAAGGGCGCGUAGGCGGCGGACAUCGUCUGAUGUGAAAUUCCUGGGCUCAACCUGGGGGCUGCAUUGGAUACGUGUUUGCUUGAGUUCGGAAGAGGGUCGUGGAAUUCCCAGUGUAGAGGUGAAAUUCGUAGAUAUUGGGAAGAACACCGGUGGCGAAGGCGGCGACCUGGUCCGAUACUGACGCUGAGGCGCGAAAGCGUGGGGAGCAAACAGG
rnacentral:rRNA from 1 species